CUGAAAUUAAUAAAACAGAAAUAGAAUGAGGAGGAGAUCAGCUAUCGUGAUCUUAAAAUAAAAAUUGUAUGUAGAGAAUAUAAUUUUAGCAUUUUUAGAAAACAAAUGUACAUACCACACUAUCAAUGCGGACUCAAACGAACCCUAGCAUUACAAAAUGGCAGCCUUUAGAGCAUUACUCCAACGGGCAAAAACACACUGUACGACGCAAGCAGACAUAAAUGAGGAAAUUAAAUGGAUAAUGCAACAAGCAACCCGCCAUGGAUAUAACCAUAGCUCGAUUUGGAGGUUAUGGAAGAAAAUUAACAACAAAAGAGAGAUAAAAACCCAACAAAAAAUGGUGAAAAACAGCAGUGAAACGG
rnacentral:lncRNA from 1 species